rnacentral:lncRNA from 10 species
UCCUCUUGGGCUUCUGCCAUCAGUAGGAGAAGAACAUGCCUCAUGGCACUCACUGGUCCCAAGAGAAUGAGAGAUACGUGGAGCUGAGCAGCUACGGCCAAUGCCUGCAGCCUGAGCAAAGCCAUUGUAGCUGACCUGGGAGCAGGUUAAUACAUGCUUGUUACCGCAUGCACCUGAGAUUCUGUGAUUGGAGCCUGAAGAUGUGUGUGGCUGCCUUGUGGCUAUGACGGCUGUGGCUGUAAAGGCUCUGUACUGAAGGCAUGGCCACCUCACUGAGUAUGACAGCAGGGAGAUGGGAAGAGCCAGAUUUCUCAUGCGGAUAUGAAGACAUUAACUGAGCCCUGGA